CUUGGUGGUCAUGGCGACGGUGCAACACCCCUUCCCAUCCCGAACAGGGCCGUGAAACCCGUCUGCGGCGAUGGUACUGCGUCUUAAGGCGUGGGAGAGUAGCGCGCUGCCAAGU
rnacentral:rRNA from 2 species